rnacentral:lncRNA from 1 species
GGUGAGUAAAUUAGAUUGUUUGCAUGGUAAUCUGAAUCUGUCCAUUCACAUGCGUUAUACCUGUUCUGUUAUGCUUAUGAUUGGACUACAAGCUUGUUUCCGUUGCUAUUUACUAUCUCAUGGCUAUUCUUUUCAGUGGACUCAAUUGCCAUUAGUCCCGUUCGAUAGAGGAAAGUCGAGUUCAUUUGAUUUUUCAGAUUCGAGGACGAAUCUUUUU